rnacentral:rRNA from 1 species
AACCUUUACACUGCACGACAGUGCGAUAGGGGGACUCCGAGUGUGAGGGCAUAUAGCCCUCGCUUUUCUGAACCGUAAGGUGGUUCAGGAACAAGGACUGGGCAAGACCGGUGCCAGCCGCCGCGGUAAUACCGGCAGUCCGAGUGAUGGCCGAUAUUAUUGGGCCUAAAGCGUCCGUAGCUUGCUGUGUAAGUCCAUUGGGAAAUCGACCAGCCCAACUGGUAGGCGUCCGGUGGAAACUACACAGCUUGGGGCCGAGAGACUCAACGGGUACGUCCGGGGUAGGAGUGAAAUCCUGUAAUCCUGGACGGACCACCAAUGGGGAAACCACGUUGAGAGACCGGACCCGACAGUGAGGGACGAAAGCCAGGGUCUCGAACCGGAUUAGAUACCCGGGUAGUCCUGGCUGUAAACAAUGCUCGCUAGGUAUGUCACGCGCCAUGAGCACGUGAUGUGCCGUAGUGAAGACGAUAAGCGAGCCGCCUGGGAAGUACGUCCGCAAGGAUGAAACUUAA